UACGUAGGUGGCAAGCGUUGUCCGGAUUUAUUGGGCUUAAAGGGUGCGUAGGCGGUCUAUUAAGUCAGUGGUGAAAUACUCCAGCUUAACUGGAGGGGUGCCAUUGAUACUGAUGGACUUGAGUGAAGUCGAGGUAGGCGGAAUUGACGGUGUAGCGGUGAAAUGCUUAGAUAUCGUCAAGAACACCAAUAGCGAAGACAGCUUACUAGGCUUAUACUGACGCUGAGGCACGAAAGUGUGGGGAGCAAACAGG
rnacentral:rRNA from 1 species